rnacentral:lncRNA from 1 species
UGGGGGCGGGGGCGGGAAGGCCCGGAGGAAGGGGCUGCACGCCUGUGCCCGGGUGGCGUCUGGGGACCAGCCUGCAGCGGGCACCGUGCGCCUCGUCUCUGUGAUCUCGGAGGAGCCCGGACGUGCCGUCCCCUUCGUGCGGGGACUCUCUGCUCCUCCUGUGGCUGCGCCUCUUUGCUUGCAGAGCCAAGCUGCUGGCGGGGUGUAUGUGCAUUGAGCCAGAGCUGCAGAAUGGGGUCCCCCCGGCCACCCUCUGCCCCUCACCGUGGGGGGCUCCGUGUCCCGGUGCAGAGCGGUGUCCGGCCUUGGAGCCGCUGGGCCUGCGCUCACCUUGGCGGCUCCGGGCCAGUACCACAGACCGGCCCUUAGUCCCGCGUGGUAGGUAGCGCCCUGGCUGCCUGUUCCAGCAGCGGAGGUGAGAGAUUUAAGGGAAUAUUUUAAUCUGAAAUCUUAGCAGCACGGGCACGAGAGUGGCGUGGUGGCCGGGGCUGCAGCCGACGUAUUUAUGGUCCGGGGCUGACCAUCCAACGCCUGAGUUCUGGUCGUCCCUUCCGACGGAGAGCUCAUCACUCUCCCUGUUUAUGAUUUCAAUUCCUGUCCUUCCAUGGGGUUGCGGUGAAUUAGCUCAGUGCCAUUUUCUAAAAUAUCAAGCAUUUUUAUACAUUAGGUAUAGUGAAUGGCAAAUACUUGAUGUAAAGUCUGCAGUUUUACUCCAUAACCAGAUUGUAAAAUAUGAACUGAAUUAAUCAUAACUGCGAAGACUAAUGGUACGUUUUCUCUUAUUUUAUCUUUAGUGCCUUUCAGAUCAUGUUUUAAAACCUUCCACGCCUGGCGUUGGGAACGCAGCCGCGGCUUGGUGGUGGAUAGCAAGAGGCAAAGGCAUAGCUCUGUACGCCUGGUAGAGAGCGCAGAGGAUGAGCCCGGAAAGAUGCAGCUCAGAGGAUGAGCCCGGAAAGAUGCGCUUCGAUUGUAGGAGCUGGGGCAGGAAGGGCCCGCUGCCCUCGCCCGGGAGCCUAGCCUUGCGGGUGCCUGGACUUCGCGGCCCUGCAUCCCCCCUGCCGUCCCCACACUGCAAAGACCACAAGCUUCUGAGGGGAGGAACCAGCCAUUCGAAUUUUCUCAGGUUCCUCCUCCCCCUCCGCCACCGGGGCUUACGAAAUGCAUCUCGAGACUCCUGCAGAAGCCAGCUUUCUGCAGCCACCGUCAGAUCCCUGCGCAAUUUAUCUGGAUUCCGUCCGUGGUGGCCAGACUGGAUUUUGAUAAAGAGCCGCAAAUCUAUCCCUCUCCAGCUUCUGUGA